UUCUGGUAUUUAGCAUUUCAAGCAUUUACAGCAGGUAACGUUACACAGGAGGAGCACAAACCCUGCCCCAUGUAUUCUCAUCUCUAGUCACAUGCCGGGAUUCUGUACAGCGAUGCCCGCGCGCGCGCACACACACACACCUGAGCUGAGAUCUGUGUGUGU